AAAUACCUUUUAUUUUAUUAUUUUUGAAAGGUGAAUUUUAAUGGUCAUUUUGUCUUUUUGGAUUAAUAAUUAUGCAUCAACUAAAAAUACAAUAAAAUAAAAUAAAAAAUAAAGCAAUAAAAAAAGGUAAAAAUAAUAAUAAAAGGGAGGGGACAUACUAUCAAUACAAGAGGUAAAAUAAUUAAAAAAAUGAAAGAAAAAACAAAAUAAAUAAAUAAAACAAUAAGAAGAAAACAAUAACUAAAAAAUAUACAAAAGACAAAAAAAAGUUGAAAAUUAGGGAUGUAGA
rnacentral:lncRNA from 1 species